CUGGGCCGAGCCUGCCCCGGGCUCGCCACCUGGAGGAGGACUGGCCGAACCUGCCCCGGGCUCGUUGCCCAGAGGAGCUGCCUGAGCUUCCCCUCGCUCAGUAUCCUGAGGAGCAGCCCGGCCUACCCAGCGCCCAGUACCCUGAGGAGCCCACGGUGUGGGACACUGCGGAAGAUGCCGGGGAUACCCAGCCAGAGGGUCUGGACCCUGACCUACUGGCUGUCGGUAGUGAGGCGCCCUGGAUCCCAGCAGCGCCUGAGAGGGCCGAGCCCCAACACCAGACGUCCACACGACUAAAGAGAAAGUUGGAAAUAGCAAGAGAAGUGACUUCCCAAGGUCGCACAUGAAGUCUGUGGCAGAUUUGAAAACAGAAGCCAAAUCUCCUGCUUUCCAAUCUUGUUCUCCAGAUUAUGCCUCUUUUUUGUGCACCCCUUACACAACUUUUAAAUUCAUUUUAACUCAUCUAAUUCACCUACUUCAGCAAAUUUGAGUUCAUGCAGUCAUAAGCCAUGCCACUUUCCCCCACUCUGCAGGUUUUGUUCCUACGUUGACCUUAAAGUAACCCCACGUGCUGAUCUUGUUCAUGCUGCACACUAUUCCUUAAGUAAAUUUAGCAACACUUAGUCCCUAAUAUUCUGUUCUAAUACAUUUAGUUAGGAUUUAAAUUUCUUUAGGCUUUUAUUUUAUUUAUUUUUAAGUUUAUUAAUGAGUUUGUUAAUUAUUAAAGUUUAUUUAAGUGUCAGAAGCUUUUAUAUCAUAGCUUAUAAAGUUUUCUCAAGGAAAUGUGUAAGACACAUUAAUUAGAGAUCAGAGAACUCAUCUGCAUGCAUGAAAUAAAGAGCAGCUUAUGCAUCUGGUUUGUCAUAAAUAAUUCUAUACACUCCAUUAUGGGCUAUAUUUGCAGUGAGCAAGACAUAUGUCCACCACCACCUUGAUAACUUUGCUUUUAAGCUGUAUCUCUUUCAUCCACUCUUUCCGUUUUUGUUUCUUUGUAGCCUUUUGGGGGCAUAUUCGGAAACUGUUUACCACAUUUUUGGCACUACCA